UACAGAGGUCCCAAGCGUUGUUCGGAUUCAUUGGGCGUAAAGGGUGCGUAGGCGGUCGGGUAAGUCGGAUGUGAAAUCUCAGGGCUCAACCCUGAAACUGCAUUCGAUACUGCCUGGCUAGGGUACUGGAGAGGAGACUGGAAUUUACGGUGUAGCAGUGAAAUGCGUAGAUAUCGUAAGGAAGACCAGUGGCGAAGGCGAGUCUCUGGACAGUUACCGACGCUGAGGCACGAAGGUCAGGGGAGCAAACGGG
rnacentral:rRNA from 1 species